CUACGGGAGGCUGCAGUGGGGAAUAUUGGACAAUGGGCGAAAGCCUGAUCCAGCCAUGCCGCGUGUGUGAAGAAGGCCUUCGGGUUGUAAAGCACUUUCAGUGGGGAAGAAAGCCUUGGGGCUAAUACCCUCGAGGAAGGACAUCACCCACAGAAGAAGCACCGGCUAACUCCGUGCCAGCAGCCGCGGUAAUACGGAGGGUGCGAGCGUUAAUCGGAAUUACUGGGCGUAAAGCGCGCGUAGGCGGUCUGAUAAGCCGGUUGUGAAAGCCCCGGGCUCAACCUGGGAACGGCAUCCGGAACUGUCAGGCUAGAGUGCAGGAGAGGAAGGUAGAAUUCCCGGUGUAGCGGUGAAAUGCGUAGAGAUCGGGAGGAAUACCAGUGGCGAAGGCGGCCUUCUGGACUGACACUGACGCUGAGGUGCGAAAGCGUGGGUAACAAACAGGAUUAGAUACCCUGGUAGUC
rnacentral:rRNA from 1 species